rnacentral:rRNA from 1 species
GUGGGGAAUCUUGCGCAAUGGGCGAAAGCCUGCCGCAGCCAUGCCGCGUGGAUGAUGAAGGUCUUAGGAUUGUAAAAUCCUUUCACCGGUGAAGAUAAUGACUGUAGCCGGAGAAGAAGCCCCGGCUAACUUCGUGCCAGCAGCCGCGGUAAUACGAAGGGGGCUAGCGUUGCUCGGAUUUACUGGGCGGAAAGGGCGCGUAGGCGGACAUUUAAGUCAGGGGUGAAAUCCCGGGGCUCAACCUCGGAACUGCCGUUAAUAGUGGGUGUCUUGAGUAUGGGAGAGGUGUGUGGAACUCCGAGUGUAGAGGUGAAAUUCGUAGAUAUUCGGAAGAACACCAGUGGCGAAGGCGACACACUGGCUCAUUACUGACGCUGAGGCGCGAAAGCGUGGGGAGCAAACAGGAUUAGAAACCCGAGUAGUCC